UACGUAGGGGGCAAGCGUUGUCCGGAUUUAUUGGGCGUAAAGAGCGUGUAGGCGGUUUGGUAGGUCCGCUGUGAAAACUCGAGGCUCAACCUCGAGACGCCGGUGGAAACCAUCAGGCUAGAGUCCGGAAGAGGAGAGUGGAAUUCCUGGUGUAGCGGUGAAAUGCGCAGAUAUCAGGAAGAACACCCGUGGCUAAGGCGGCUCUCUGGACCGGUAUUGACGCUGAGGUGCGAAAGCGUGGGGAGCAAACAGG
rnacentral:rRNA from 1 species